rfam:Parasitella parasitica strain CBS 412.66 genome assembly, contig: contig_5573
UUUUCGUUAGUAUAGCGGUAAGUAUCCCCGCCUGUCACGCGGGAGACCGGGGUUCAAUUCCCCGCCGGAAAG